rnacentral:snoRNA from 1 species
GUGCUAUGAUGUCAAUCAAUUGUUUCUGAAACCUUGUGUGGAAUAAUUUGAGCUUUUUAACCCUGAGCACA